rnacentral:rRNA from 1 species
CGACACCGGAGAGGGAGCCUGAGAAACGGCUACCACAUCCAAGGAUGGCAGCAGGCGCGCAAAUUACCCAAUCCCGACACGGGGAGGUAGUGACAAUAAAUAACAAUACGGGGUUCUUUUGGAUCUCGUAAUUGGAAUGAGUACAAUUUAAAUCUCUUAACGAGGAACAAUUGGAGGGCAAGUCUGGUGCCAGCAGCCGCGGUAAUUCCAGCUCCAAUAGCGUAUAUUAAAGUUGUUGCAGUUAAAAAGCUCGUAGUUGAAUUUCGGGGUCAGCAAGUUGGUCGUGCCACUGGUAUGCACUGGCUUUGCUGAUUCCUCCUUCUUGAGGAACUGUAAUGCUAUUAAUUUAGUGUUGCAGGGAAACAGGACUGUUACUUUGAAAAAAUUAGAGUGUUUAAAGCAGGCUAACGCUUGAAUACAUUAGCAUGGAAUAAUGAAAUAGGACGUUUGAUCCUAUUUUGUUGGUUUCUAGGAUUGACGUAAUGAUUAAUAGGGAUAGCUGGGGGCAUUAGUAUUCAAUUGUCAGAGGUGAAAUUCUUGGAUUUAUUGAAGACUAACUACUGCGAAAGCAUUUGCCAAGGAUGUUCUCAUUAAUCAAGAACGAAAGUUAGGGGAUCGAAGACGAUCAGAUACCGUCGUAGUCUUAACCAUAAACUAUGCCGACUAGGGAUCGGAUGAUGU